AUACUGUACAUUGUUUAUAAAUGAUCAAAAUUGACUAAUGCUGAUCAUGUCUUCUCUUUAGAGCCUUCCAGCAAAGUUCUUGAAUAUUAUCUAAUGUCAGCUGUAAUUUUGUACGGCCUGUGUUGACCUAGUAAUUUGUGGUUCCAAUAUGUGCUUCCCCUCUUGUUUAAGCUGUUAAUCCUAGAUACGUGCUGAAGAACUGGAUGGCAGAAUCUGCAGUGCGAAAAGCAGAAAGGAAUGAUUUUUCAGAGGUGUAUCUUCUGCAGCAAGGUCUUCAGCACCCUUUCCAGAAGCAUUCUGCAGCAGAGAAAGCAGGCUACUCCUCAUCUACUCCUUCUUGGGCUAGAGAUCUCAGAGUUAGCUGCUCAUCUUAAUUUGGAAAAAAUUAAUUAAUGAAUACUUCUAUUAUUGAACUCAACAUGGAAUAAUCAAUUUGAUAAAUUCUUAAUGGCCAUCUACAUUUUGAUGACAAUCCUGAAUUGCAUAAUAAUGAUUGUAUAUAAAAGUAUUUUUUAACCAAAUAAACUGGACCUAUUCUUUGUAACAUCUUUGUGAUCAUUUUUGUUCUAAUUAAUAAACUUAAUGGAAUAAUAAAGUA